rnacentral:misc_RNA from 1 species
GAUGAAGAACGUAGCAAAAUGCGAUAAGUAAUGUGAAUUGCAGAAUUCAGUGAAUCAUCGAAUCUUUGAACGCACAUUGCGCCCGCCAGUACUCUGGCGGGCAUGUCUGUCCGAGCGUCAUUUCAACCCUCAGGGCCCUCCAGCAGGGCGCUGGUGUUGGGGAUCGGCAGUCCCAGCGGCUGCCGUCCCUGAAAUGUAGUGGCGGUCCCACCGUGACCUCCCCUGUGCAGUACAUCGCUCGCAGAGGGACAGCGGUGCGGCCACGCCGUAAAACGCCCAACUCUUCAAGGUUGACCUCGGAUCAGGUAGGACUACCCGCUGAACUUAAGCAUAUCAAUAAGCGGAGGA